rnacentral:rRNA from 1 species
UACGGAGGGUGCGAGCGUUGUCCGGAAUCAUUGGGCGUAAAGGGCGCGUAGGCGGCCUUCUAAGUCGAACGUGAAAUCCCCGGGCUCAACCCGGGAACUGCGUCCGAUACUGGAAGGCUUGAAUCCGGGAGAGGGAUGCGGAAUUCCAGGUGUAGCGGUGAAAUGCGUAGAUAUCUGGAGGAACACCGGUGGCGAAGGCGGCAUCCUGGACCGGUAUUGACGCUGAGGCGCGAAAGCCAGGGGAGCAAAGCAGG